rnacentral:rRNA from 1 species
GAUGAACGCUGGCGGCGUGCCUAAUACAUGCAAGUAGAACGCUGAAGGAGGAGCUUGCUCUUCUGGAUGAGUUGCGAACGGGUGAGUAACGCGUAGGUAACCUGCCUGGUAGCGGGGGAUAACUAUUGGAAACGAUAGCUAAUACCGCAUGACAACAGUUAUUGCAUGAUAACUGUUUAAAAGGGGCAACUGCUCCACUACCAGAUGGACCUGCGUUGUAUUAGCUAGUUGGUGAGGUAACGGCUCACCAAGGCGACGAUACAUAGCCGACCUGAGAGGGGGAUCGGCCACACUGGGACUGAGACACGGCCCAGACUCCUACGGGAGGGAGCAGUAGGGAAUCUUCGGCAAUGGACGGAAGUCUGAACGAGCAACGCCGCGGGAGUGAAGAAGGGUUUCGGAUCGUAAAGCUCGGUUGUAAGGGAAGAACGAGUGUGAGAGUGGAAAGUUCACACUGUGACGGUAUCUUACCAGAAAGGGACGGCUAACUACGUG